GCGCUCAGUGCUAGAGCAGCUUCUUGGGAUGCAGAAGGUCCCAGGUUCAAUCCUUGGCAUCACCA
rnacentral:tRNA from 1 species